rnacentral:rRNA from 1 species
UACGAAGGGUGCAAGCGUUACUCGGAAUUACUGGGCGUAAAGCGUGCGUAGGUGGUGAGUUAAGUCUGUCGUGAAAGCCCCGGGCUCAACCUGGGAAUGGCGAUGGAUACUGGCUCGCUAGAGUGCGGUAGAGGAGAGUGGAAUUCCCGGUGUAGCAGUGAAAUGCGUAGAGAUCGGGAGGAACAUCAGUUGCGAAGGCGACCACCUGGACUGAUACUGACACUGAGGUGCGAAAGCGUGGGGAGCAAACAGG